AUGUAAAUAUGUGCAUUUUGAUGUGGGUGAGAUACAAUGUGGGUGAAAGAGGCCUUAAAUGUGUAAAAAGGAGUAACAAAAAGAUGAUGGAUGAACGGUCCUGUGUAUUCUUUCAUAAUAAAACAUUUUUCUUUCAAAAAGAUCAACCAUUUAUUUUUCUACUAAUACUUUGGUAUUGUGUUAGGUUUGAAACAACUAAAU
rnacentral:lncRNA from 1 species